rnacentral:rRNA from 1 species
AAUGAACGUUGGCGGCGUGGAUUAGGCAUGCAAGUCGUACGGUAAGCUUCGGCUUAUAGUGGCGAAAGGGAGAGUAACGCGUGGUUACAUGCCCUCGGGACCGGGAUAGCGGCGGGAAACUGCCGGUAAUACCGGAUAAUAUCUUUGGACCAAAGGUGUGAUUCCGCCCGGGGAUGGGACCGCGUUCUAUUGGCUUGUUGGCGGGGUAAUGGCCCACCAAGGCGACGAUGGAUACCGGGUGUGAGAGCAUGGCCCGGCUCACUGGGCAUGAGACACUGCCCAGACACCUACGGGUGGCUGCAGUCGAGAAUCUUCGGCAAUGGGGGCAACCCUGACCGAGCGACGCCGCGUGCGGGACGAAGGCCUUCGGGUUGUAAACCGCUGUCAGUUGGGAGGAAGUGCCGGGGGGUUCUCCCCUCGGUUUGACCGAUCUUCAGAGGAAGGACGGGCUAAGUUCGUGCCAGCAGCCGCCGUAA